AUUGAACGCUGGCGGCAGGCCUAACACAUGCAAGUCGAGCGGAGCGGCGGACGGGUGCGUCAUGCCUAGGACUCUGCAUGGUAGUGGGGGAUAACGUCCGGAAACGGGCGCUAAUACCGCAUACUAUCAGAUGAGCCUAGGGCGGAUUAGCUUGUUGGUGGGGUAAAGGCAGACCAAGGCGACGCUCCGUAACGGUGCUGAGAGGAUGAGCAGUCAAACUGGAACUGAGACACGGUCCUGCGUCCUAUGGGAGGCAGCAGGGGGGAAUAUUGGGAAAUGGGCGAAAGCCUGAUCGAGCCAUGCCGCGUGUGUGAAGAAGGUCUUCGGAUUGUAAAGCUCUUUAAGUUGGGAGGCGUUACCAACAGAAUAAGCACCGGCUAACUUCGUGCCAGCAGCCGCGGUAAUAC
rnacentral:rRNA from 1 species